rnacentral:piRNA from 1 species
CAGUAUAUGUAGAAACCUGCAAGC